UACGAAGGGGGGCUAGCGUUGCUCGGAAUCACUGGGCGUAAAGGGUGCGUAGGCGGGUCUUUAAGUCAGGGGUGAAAUCCUGGAGCUCAACUCCAGAACUGCCUUUGAUACUGAGGAUCUUGAGUCCGGGAGAGGUGAGUGGAACUGCGAGUGUAGAGGUGAAAUUCGUAGAUAUUCGCAAGAACACCAGUGGCGAAGGCGGCUCACUGGCCCGGUACUGACGCUGAGGCACGAAAGCGUGGGGAUCAAACAGGAGUUAG
rnacentral:rRNA from 1 species